AUGUAAUUUAUUUCCUCUGUGACUUUGACUGCUGGGAAGCACUUCUUUACUUCUAAACUUUGCUCGUAAUGUUUACAACCAUCUUCAUAAAUCUAUAUGCAUAAAUCUGAAGGACUGGUGUCCCAGCAGAGAUUUAACUUUUUCACUGUUUUAUUUAACGACCUGCAGGAAACGUUAAUAAAAAAGACAGCAGUUUAAUAAAAGAAAAUGACUUCCAUCUGUCCUGCGGUGCUUCACUCUGUUUGUUCUCUUGUGCAACUUUACUGAACAACUUCAGGUAAAUUAAUUUCCUGUCGUCCGUGUCAUCUACUGCGUGAGCUGCUGCUGCUGCUGCGUCGCUCUCAGGGCUCCCAGGGCUCAGUGGCAGGUCAGGUGCUGUUCAUCAUGCCAGCAGAGGGACGAGGUCAUUAAUAACAAUCCAGGUAGGUGAAGCCACAGCUGCUAACCUUGACUCUGAUCUUUUCAAACUGAACAGCAGGGCAGUCGUCAGGGGACUUGUUACCAAGCAACAACAGCAUGUCACCGUCAACUACAACAUUUCUCUGGAAAAUCUCUGCGAAGCUUUUACGAUUCAGAACAGGGAGGAACGUUGACUAAGAGUUCAGAUUUUUGUGCCUUUUCAUUUCAUUUCACAGUUUUUUUUGAUUUUUUUAGUCUGAGAGAGUCUGUGAGUUGUGUUUUCCCACACAGACACAAAAACAUGCUGUUGUGUCGUGUGCACAAAAUGUUCCCGGUGACAGACAGCAAAUCAAAGUUCAACAGAAUUCUGUCAAGGCUGUUUGCAGGUGGGAAAAAGAACAAAGUUUAACUGUGGAUUGUGUUAACUGAUUCAAUCCAGCUGAAUCACGUUGGGCCAAAGAUUGUCUUGGUCAGCAUUCAAACAGGAUCUCAUUAGAUGUCGUAUAAAAUGAAGUAUGUUGAAAAACACGAAACCAGACAUGCUGCAGGGUGAAGGACAUGUUGCACCUGGAGGAUCUGUCCAUGUGAUCAGCUCGGGCCACACCUACACCAGGUGUGGCCAGUCAACUCUAACGACUCUCUGCUGGCACUCCAGAGGCCAAAUGCAUGAAUCAUGCAAACACACAAAACAUGUGUUUAUUCCACUUUCAGUGUGACGAUGAGCGGCGGCAACAAAGGCGAAGAAAAGUGUGAAUCUGGGAGACAUUUAUUUACAGCUGCUUCUUUUUACUAAUUUAUGAUGAUGGAGGCAGAUUUGUACACCUGAACACACAGAGUUUUCUACAUGUGGCCCCGGGAAGUCAGUCAGCUGGAGGAAACAGACAGAAACCUGAACUGACUGCAGAAUAUUUCUCCUUCAGUUAAUCAAACUGAAACACUCUGCUGUUUUAGAGGAACGUGAAGCUGUGAGACAUUUGAACAAUGUCACCUGGACCCUGAUGUGUGUUUGAUCCACGUGUUAUACUGAACCAUGUCACUUCUGACAAAAGUCCAUGUAAUCUUUUAUCCAUACAGGACAAAGUCCACAGAUCAUCUCCAGUCUGACGGCGUCCAGCCUGCAGAUGUGCAGACAGGAAGUUUCUUACUGGGGAUAAUAAAUAAAUCACAGGAUGUAAAGUGG